AGAAUCAACGCUGGCGGCGUGCCUAACACAUGCAAGUCGAACGAGAAAGUGGAGCAAUCCAUGAGUAAAGUGGCGCACGGGUGAGUAACACGUGACUAACCUACCCUUGAGUGGGGGAUAACCUAGGGAAACCUGGGCUAAUACCGCAUAAUACCUUCGGGUCAAAGGAGCAAUUCGCUUAAGGAGGGGGUCGCGGCCGAUUAGUUAGUUGGCGGGGUAAUGGCCCACCAAGACUGUGAUCGGUAUCCGGCCUGAGAGGGCGCACGGACACACUGGAACUGAAACACGGUCCAGACUCCUACGGGAGGCAGCAGUGGGGAAUUUGCGCAAUGGGGGAAACCCUGACGCAGCAACGCCGCGUGGAGGAUGAAGUCCCUUGGGACGUAAACUCCUUUCGAUCGGGACGAUUAUGACGGUACCGGAAGAAGAAGCCCCGGCUAACUUCGUGCCAGCAGCUGC
rnacentral:rRNA from 1 species